UACGUAGGAUGCAAGCGUUGUCCGGAGUUAUUGGGCGUAAAGCGCGCGCAGGCGGUGCGGUAAGUCUCUGGUGAAAGCGCUCGGCUUAACUGGGCGAGGGCCGGGGAGACUGCCACGCUGGAGGGGAGCAGAGGCGAGUGGAAUUCCGGGUGUAGUGGUGAAAUGCGUAGAGAUCCGGAGGAACACCAGUGGCGAAGGCGGCUCGCUGGGCUCUACCUGACGCUGAGGCGCGAAAGCGUGGGGAGCGAACCGG
rnacentral:rRNA from 1 species